CAGUAUUUCUUGUAUUGUGAUGGGGUCUUGUACAGCUUGUUUUUGGGCUGCUGAUAGCGUGGGCAGUGUGGUCUUUUGAAGGUAAGCGGCUAUUUCCUGUUCUGUGGGUUGGUGUAGUUUAGGGUCCUGUUUUAAGUUGUAUAGCGUGUGAUAAUAGUCGGCCAUCUCAUCGUUGAUAUCUGGAGGGUUGUGGAUUUUGUCCCCUGUACGGGUGAAUAGAUAGGGGAUUUUGGAGUUGGCUUGUUUUUGUUUCAGUAAUGUUGCUAGAUGUUUUCCGGCUUUGUUGCCUUGAGUGUACGUAUUCAUUUUUAGUUUAG